rfam:Cavia porcellus supercont2_101 genomic scaffold, whole genome shotgun sequence.
GUCCUCCCGCUCCUGAGCACGGUGAUUGGGCGUUCACUUUGCGUGCAUAACAUGUACCUCUCUGGAGCCUUGCUACAAGUACAGGGCAUUAACCCUCUGACU